ACCUGCGGCCGUACGGCCGCAUGCGGCCGUGGGCAAGGACUUUGGCGGCCGUGGACGUGUAUAUAAAAGUGUACGUAAUGGCGGCCGUGCAGGUGUAGGGUCUCUGGACUCCAGUGACGGCUCUGAUUGACAGCAAAGAAGUAAAGCCUGACCAAAUUCCUACCGUCCGUUUUUCGGGCACUUUAGACGGGCUGUUGCAGGAAUUCGCUAACCGUUUUCAAGAUUUCGAAAAGAUUUCAGCAACAAUAAGACUCGUUGCUUCUCCUCAUCUGGUGGAGACAGAGAGUGCACCGUUACAUCUACAAAUGGAGCUAGUAGAGUUGAAGAACAAUGAGCAGCUUGUGAAAAAGUUUACGGAAGAAAGCGACCUGCUGGAUACGUGGAAAUCAGCAGUAGAAUACCCACAACAACGAGAACUGGCCAGGAACAUUCUCGUUCUUUUCGGAAGCACUUAUUUGUGCGAAGCAGCGUUUUCCAGAAUGAAAUAUCUGAAAAACAGGUACAAUGUUAUGCAAAUUAUCCAUUAUCAUGGAAUCAAGCAAUUCCAUACUUCUUCAGCCUUGUCAUGGUGAACUGAGGUGUUUAAAUGCCAGCUCCCUUAGAUCUGUUGGAUCUACGUUGAUACCCACCCUGAUGUCGAUUCCAGAAAAACUUCAAGGACGAAAGACAUCGGUACUCCAAUGGAAACCCAACCUGGACGUCUACAGUCCAAAAACAUUAACAGCGUCAUUCAGUGGACUGGUCCACAGCAACAUUAGAUCAUCAGAAGGAAAGCUUACUCGAACCCAACACCCAAACAGAUUCUACUUCCCGUUCUAACCCCCGUCCUGCUUCUGACCUCACUUCUGCCUAUAGUCAUCUGGACACUCCUCUUCCUGCUCGCUGUCUUUAAAAGCCAGCUCAUUCC